rnacentral:lncRNA from 1 species
CUUUGACCACUCUUUUGAUAAUGAUGUACCACCAAGAUGAGUAGAAGAAGGUAUUUUUUCUGAUUUUUGCCCCUUAAAGGCUUCUUUAUUCCUUAAAGACCUCUUUUAGUUUUUAAGAUCAACAAUAUCCUUCCUAUAAAUAGUUCUACCUCUUUUUUCCUCAAUCAUAGCAUCAUGAAAAUCAUCAUCAUAUUUGUUCUCAUAUAAAAAUGUUUUAAUACUAAUAGCAUCAAUUGGAUCAUUCUAUUUAGUUAUUUUUCUCAUAGCUUUAGCUCUCUUGAUCAUGGCUUUUGUAGU